UACGUAGGGGGCUAGCGUUGUCCGGAAUCAUUGGGCGUAAAGCGCGUGUAGGCGGUCCGGUAAGUCCGCUGUGAAAGUCGGGGGCUCAACCCUCGAAUGCCGGUGGAUACUGUCGGGCUAGAGUGCGGAAGAGGCGAGUGGAAUUCCUGGUGUAGCGGUGAAAUGCGCAGAUAUCAGGAGGAACACCAAUUGCGAAGGCAGCUUACUACAGGGAUAUUGACACUGAGGCACGAAAGCGUGGGGAUCAAACAGG
rnacentral:rRNA from 1 species